ensembl:misc_RNA Metazoa_SRP Metazoan signal recognition particle RNA
GCCAGGCAUGGUGGCGGGUACCUGUAGUCCCAGCUACCCCGGAGGCUGAGGUAGAGUCCAAGAGUUCUGGGCUGCAGUGCACUAUGUGAUCGUGUGUCUGCACUAAGUUUGACAUCUAUAUGGGGACCUCCUGGGAACGGGGACCACCAGGUUGCCUAAGUUGGGGGGGGGGGUGUGAACUGGCCCAGGUUGGAAACAGCAGGUCAAAACUCCCAUGCUGAUCAAAAGCAGCUCAUGUGCUGUCUAGUGAGGAUGGUGGGCUCUGGGCAGAAUUGGGGACCUGU